CCCAUUGACGUUUAAGUUUUUCCCUGACUUCAGGUGGGAAGUCAUAUGUCAACCAAUAAGGUGCCUCUGCAAGAAUUUCUGCUGAGAUAAUCCCUGUCUCUUCUUUUAAUUCCCUUACGGCUGCAAUUUUAGGAUCUUCAUUCUCAUCUAUACCUCCCUGAGGCAUUUGCCAAGCAUUGGGUAUAUCCAGCCUCGAAGCAGCAAAAAUCUUUUUAGAUGGAUUGAUCAGACAGAUACCCACGUUUCUUCUGUAACCUUCUGGAGCAGAUUCCAUGGAAAAGGAGGUUGAUGAUAGGCACAGGGUUCUUGAGAUUAUUGCACUGUGAGUGUAGCUCUGCGGGUUCUGGUAUAUAAGAGGCAGCUUGGUAAAUUUGGACAACUUAUGACGGUAGAUUAGGAAAGGUAAAGUGGAUUUGGAAAAAAUGGAAACAAUGGGGAGUGAAGCUGAGGGAGAAUGACUGAAAACGGAUCGGCA
rnacentral:misc_RNA from 1 species